GUAUCGACCAAUGUGAGUGAAGGAACAUUCGUACGUCAUAGCGUCAAGGAACCAAUCAGCAAUGAAAUGCCAGUCUACGCCGCAGUUAAUAAGUCUUUAAAUGCAAACAACCCUCCCCCUGAUGUAAUGCCUGCCGAGGAAGACUUAUCAGUGAGCCAAAGCAAGCAGACGACGGAUGUAGACGUCAUAUAUUGACAUGACAGAAGCAACCCGGUGAUUGACUAAUUAGAUAUUGCUUUAUUGCGUAAUCAAACUGAAUACCAUUUAGUGUUCAUGCAAUCAUAAUAUAAAUUGUAUUUUGUGAAGUUCUGUCAAUUUGUAAAAAUGUUCAUUGUUGAAUUAAUACGUGUUUGAUUUACUGGUAAAAGUAUAAUUAACGUAUUCAUAUUAUAACGUACACUGCAUUGUACCAUAUCUAAUUUAAUUACCACAUUAUGAGUUAUGAAUUAUAAAUAUUAUGUAAACAGACUGACAUUUUAGCAAUAUAUUUUUAUGAAGUUUCAUAUAAUAUGACUUGUACUAAGUGUAACAUAAGCUUCUGUUCAUUUCAUAUACAUGUAAUUCAUUUGGUCAUCUUUAAUGUUCGUUUAAAUUUCUUAUGUUUUUUAUUUCUUGAAAAAUUGCUCGAGAUCCCAUGUGCUAAAUAUUAUACAGAGACGUUCGUGAUCAUUGUUUCACCUUCGAAAGUAUGGUUCACAAUAUUCUACGCAUAAAAUAAGAAAUGAG
rnacentral:misc_RNA from 1 species